AUGCCUCUAAUCCCGAUAACGGACCUGUCCUACUCCACGUACUCUGUGGAGACGGAGCUGAUCCCAGGUAUCGACCUCUUCUCUGAGCCAGAUCGGAGGAAUCUUUGCACCACUGUUGCCAGUUUGUCUUUUCUCUGCCACUGGCUGUAUACCUCAGGACACCUUCUCAAGGUUCUUCAUGUACUGGCUCUGUACCUGUAUAUUACCGGAAACGUGUGUCGGGAUCGACACCUCACUGUCAUGUGCAGAAUACUGAAGGUAAAGGUAUUUACAGAGUUGGGGGCCUUCACUCAGGCAUUUAAAGAACUCAGCAGUCUCACAAUUAGCAGGGAAAUCCCUGUACCUCAUGCAGGCCACCACAGAGCAGAGAAGCCAUGUUGGGUAAAGCAGCCUAACCAAUAA
ensembl:lncRNA